rnacentral:rRNA from 1 species
UACACGACCGUACCGCAAACCGACACUGGUGCGCGAGAUGAGUAUUCUAAGGCGCUUGAGAGAACUCAGGAGAAGGAACUCGGCAAAUUGACACCGUAACUUCGGAAGAAGGUGUGCCUUUAGUAGGUGAACCAUUUACUUGGGGAGCCCAAUGAGGCUGCAAAAAAUCGGUGGCUGCAACUGUUUAUUAAAAACACAGCACUCUGCUAAGACGAAAGUCGACGUAUAGGGUGUGACGCCUGCCCGGUGCUGGAAGAUUAAAUGAUGGGGUGCAAGCUCUUGAUUGAAGUCCCAGUAAACGGCGGCCGUAACGAUAACGGUCCUAAGGUAGCGAAAUUCCUUGUCGGGUAAGUUCCGACCUGCACGAAUGGCGUAAUGAUGGCCACACUGUCUCCUCCUGAGACUCAGCGAAGUUGAAAUGUUUGUGAUGAUGCAAUCUCCCCGCGGAAAGACGGAAAGACCCCAUGAACCUUUACUGUAGCUUUGUAUUGGACUUUGAACAGAUCUGUGUAGGAUAGGUGGGAGGCUUUGAAGUGUGGUCGCUAGAUCGCAUGGAGCCAACGUUGAAAUACCACCCUGGUGUGUUUGAGGUUCUAACCUAGGUCCAUUAUCUGGAUCGGGGACAGUGCAUGGUAGGCAGUUUGACUGGGGCGGUCUCCUCCCAAAGUGUAACGGAGGAGUUCGAAGGUACGCUAGGUACGGUCGGACAUCGUGCUAAUAGUGCAAUGGCAUAAGCGUGCUUAACUGCGAGACUGACAAGUCGUGCAGAUGCGAAAGCAGGACAUAGUGAUCCGGUGGUUCUGUAUGGAAGGGCCAUCGCUCAACGGAUAAAAGGUACUCUGGGGAUAACAGGCUGAUACCGCCCAAGAGUUCAUAUCGACGGCGGUGUUUGGCACCUCGAUGUCGGCUCAUCUCAUCCUGGGGCUGUAGCCGGUCCCAAGGGUAUGGCUGUUCGCCAUUUAAAGAGGUACGUGAGCUGGGUUUAAAACGUCGUGAGACAGUUUGGUCCCUAUCUUCCGUGGGCGCUGCAGAUUUGAGGAAGCCUGCUCCUAGUACGAGAGGACCGGAGUGGACGAACCUCUGGUGUAUCGGUUGUCACGCCAGUGGCAUUGCCGAGUAGCUAAGUUCGGAAGAGAUAACCGCUGAAAGCAUCUAAGCGGGAAACUCGUUUCAAGAUUAGAUCUGCCGGGGCCUUGAGCCCCCUAAAGAGUCGUUCAAGACCAGGACGUUGAUAGGUCAGGUGUGGAAGCG